GUACAUAGUAGGUGUAUAUAUUAUGGGAUACAUGAAAUAUUUUGAUAUAGGCAUGCAGUGCAUAAUAAUCACAUCAUGGAGAAGUUUUUUUUUUGAGUCAGAGAAGUUUAAGUAAUUUUUAUGUAUAACUAAAAAAUUAAUAAUAAUAGAGAACUAAGAUCCCAGAUCUUAGUUCAAGGAGAAGUUCAAGGAUCCUUAAUUCAAGGAGAAGAAGAAUGAGGACUGAAGUGAGAACAGACUAAAGUUUUUAUCUUUUUGGAGGAGAGGACAGAACUGAUUAAUUCUGGUCAUUGAAAAAUUUAGAGGCUGGGUGUGGUGAGUUGCGCCUAUAAUCCCAAGGUCAAGGCAAGGAGGAUGGCUUGAGCCCAGGAGUUUGAGACCAGCCUGAGCAACGUAGUAAGACCUUGUCUCUAAAAAAGAAAUACAAAAAUUAGCUGGACUUGGUGGUUCAUGCCUGUAGUUCCAGCUACUUGGGAGGCCGAAGUGGGAGGAUCGUUUGAGCCUGGAAGGUUGAAGUUGCAGUGAGCCAAGAUCACACUACCGCACUCCAGCCUGGGCAACAGAGCCAGAUGCUGUCUCAAAAAAAAAAAAAAAAAAAUAGAAAGAAAGAAACUUAGUUGCCAUUGUAACAGUACUAAGAGAUGUGACCUUUAAGAGGUGUUUAGAUCAUGAGGGUGCCACCCUUGUGAGUGGACUAAUGUCAGACUGCAGGAAUGGGUUCUCAUUAUCACAGGAGUGGCUUCAACCCUUCUUGCUCUCUCUCUUACUUUUCUUUUCUUUUCAGAUGGAGUCUCACUCUGUCAUCCAGGCUGGAGUGCAGUGGCACAAUCCUGACUCACUGCAACCUCCACCUCCCAGGAGAAUCUCUUGAACCUGAGAGGCGGAGGUUGUGGUGAGCCGAGAUCACACCACUGCACUCCAGUCUAGGUGACAGAGUGAGACCCUGUCCCAAAAAAAUAAAAUAAAAUAAAGAAUUAUGAACUAGAGAGUGGAUCUGAAAAUAUUACACAGAAAACAAUAUUAUACAGAAUACAGUA
rnacentral:lncRNA from 1 species